GAUGAAGAACGUAGCGAAAUGCGAUAAGUAAUGUGAAUUGCAGAAUUCAGUGAAUCAUCGAAUCUUUGAACGCACCUUGCGCUCUUUGGUAUUCCGAAGAGCAUGCCUGUUUGAGUGUCAUGAAAAUAUCAACCUUGACUUGGGUUUUGUGCUCUAGUCUCGGCUUGGAAUUGGGUGCUUGCCGCUUUUACGAGCGGCUCACCUUAAAUGUAUUAGCUGGAUCUGUCUUUGAGACUUGGUUUGACUUGGCGUAAUAAGUAUUUCGCUAAGGACAUUCUUCGGAGUGGCCUCGUUUCUAGGACGCUUGUCCGCUUUCCAAUACAAGUUCCACCUCGUGGGCAUGACUUUUUAUUAUCUGGCCUCAAAUCAGGUAGGACUACCCGCUGAACUUAAGCAUAUCAAUAAGCGGAGGA
rnacentral:misc_RNA from 1 species